UACCCAUGAUGGGGGAAAACAUUAAGUAAAUCUUUGAAUCUCUCCCAACAUUGGUAAAAAGUUUCAGUAUCUUUUUGUGCAAAGUUCAUAAUUUGUCUUUUUAAUUCA